rnacentral:rRNA from 1 species
CCUACGGGAGGCAGCAGUGGGGAAUAUUGGACAAUGGGCGAAAGCCUGAUCCAGCAAUGCCGCGUGAGUGAUGAAGGCCUUAGGGUUGUAAAGCUCUUUUACCAGGGAUGAUAAUGACAGUACCUGGAGAAUAAGCUCCGGCUAACUCCGUGCCAGCAGCCGCGGUAAUACGGAGGGAGCUAGCGUUGUUCGGAAUUACUGGGCGUAAAGCGUGCGUAGGCGGCUAUUCAAGUCAGAGGUGAAAGCCCGGGGCUCAACCCCGGAACGGCCUUUGAAACUAGGUAGCUAGAAUCUUGGAGAGGUUAGUGGAAUUCCGAGUGUAGAGGUGAAAUUCGUAGAUAUUCGGAAGAACACCAGUGGCGAAGGCGACUAACUGGACAAGUAUUGACGCUGAGGUACGAAAGCGUGGGGAGCAAACAGGAUUAGAUACCCUGGUAGUCCACGCCGUAAACGAUGAUAACUAGCUGUCCGGGCACUUGGUGCUUGGGUGGCGCAGCUAACGCAUUAAGUUAUCCGCCUGGGGAGUACGGUCGCAAGAUUAAAACUCAAAUGAAUUGACGG